UACGGUAGGGUGCGAGCGUUAAUCGGAAUUACUGGGCGUAAAGCGUGCGCAGGCGGUUUUGUAAGCCAGAUGUGAAAUCCCCGGGCUCAACCUGGGAAUGGACAUUUGGGACUGCAAGGCUGGAGUGCGGCAGAGGGAGACUGGAAUUCCUGGUGUAGCAGUGAAAUGCGUAGAUAUCAAGAGGAACACCUGAGGCGAAGGCGGGUUGCUAGGCUGACACUGACGCUGAGGCGACGAAAGCUAGGGUAGCAAACGGG
rnacentral:rRNA from 1 species